CAAUAUGGCGGCCCUCCUGUUAGCUUCCUUCAGGCUUCCAUGUUUGUUCCCCACGCUGAGGACAACAAUGGUUAUUACGCACCAACUCCAGGGAACAACCACUGGGAAAUAAAUUUAAAACAAAGUCAGAAAGAAGUUGUUAAAGUCUUCCUCCUCAGUUGCAGAGCUGCACAGAUCCAGCAGGGGGCGCUCUGGACUGGAGGUGAACCAAAAGUGACUCGACGAGGAUCAGGUCUAUUCACUGUUCAGCCAUUCGUUUGAUAUCAAACCGCAACUAAAUGUUGGAACUGAGUCAAGUUUUCCCACAUAACAAAUAGCUGCAGCUGGAGGCGGAGGCUUGGUCGGUUCUCACCCACAGACUCCAGACUGGUACACGUCUGCUCACAAGCCUCUGAGUGGGUAUCAACAUUGCCGCCGUCAGUCCGGUUGUGGUUCGGGUUUCAGCAGAUGAUCCGAUUCCUUCAUGCUGAGAGAUCGCUGCCUUUAAAAGGAAGUGACACCAGAUUCUCCCACAUCUACUCCAGUUCUCCUGGUCAAAACACGUCGUUCCACUUUAACAUCAAGUUUCAGCAGAAAGCAGUCGUAUUAAAUCGGGAGGGUGUGUCGGCACAUAAAGCAAACAGCAGGAUUUCACAGGUGUCUUUAUUGGAAAUCCCAGUGGCCUGGCAGGAAGCACAGCGACAAUUAAGGAGAUCAGAGGUCAAACAACUUGUGGAUUUAAAAGACUAUCAGUGAGGGUCACAGAGAGAGCCCUCCUCCAUUCACAGGGCACCACGGUCUGUGGAGAGAGGUGAUGAAGAGGGAGAUGUGACCUUUGUCCAGCUGCCCCGGGGUCUGAUCUCUUUAUGCUGCACUUCAUUUCUGACCUCGGACAUGUUGCGGGUCUUCAUUAACUGCACAUUAUGUUUGGAUGAGAUGUUUAUUUAGAUAAAUCUGGCUAGAAAUAUCACCAAUUUAGGACAUUUAAAAUUAAAAAGCUAACAUUUUUUUUUGUUAUUUUCUGCAUGUUUUUAAUUUUAAAAAGUUGUUCUAACCAACGGGAGGCCCAAAACACUUCAGAUGUUUAUUUUAGUCAUUCCUUUUUUACUUGGCCAGAUUUUAAUAACCAUAAUGUCUAUUUACAAAAGGUUUUCCUAAAGUUUAAAUUCUCAGUCGGUGGGACCAAAUU